UUUCAUAAUUCAUCGUAGAAAGAGCAAUUGAUACUAAAACACAAACUCGUUAAAGACAUACACACUGAAUUUCAUGAAUACGACGACGGCGGGGCUCGAUGAAGAAGACGACGAACUCGUUAAAGACAGACACGGUGAAGCUCAUAAAUACAGCAACGACAUGUUUGAGGAAGACGAAAGAGAAGCUUGACGAAGAAGACGACGAACUCGUUAAAGACGGACACCGUGAAACUCAUGAAUACGGCGACGGCGGAUCUCCACGAGAGAGAAGAUAGAUCUG
rnacentral:lncRNA from 1 species